UGGGGAAUUUUGGACAAUGGGCGAAAGCCUGAUCCAGCCAUGCCGCGUGAGUGAAGAAGGCCUUCGGGUUGUAAAGCUCUUUAGUCGGAAAGAAAGAGUCGGAAUGAAUAAUUGUGAUUUAUGACGGUACCGACAGAAAAAGCACCGGCUAACUACGUGCCAGCAGCCGCGGUAAUACGUAGGGGGCGAGAGUUAAUCGGAAUUACUGGGCGUAAAGGGUGCGCAGGCGGUUUUGCAAGUCAGAUGUGAAAGCCCCGGGCUUAACCUGGGAAUUGCGUUUGAAACUACAAGGCUAGAGUGCCGCAGAGGUGAGUGGAAUUCCAUGUGUAGCAGUGAAAUGCGUAGAGAUUUGGAAGAACACCGAUGGCGAAGGCAGCUCCCUGGGUUGACACUGACGCUCAUGCACGAAAGCGUGGGGAGCAAACA
rnacentral:rRNA from 1 species